UAACAUGGUUGUAAGAUGCAGAAAACAUGACACUAUUCUUAUAAUAAUUUCAUGUAUGAAAAGUAUUGACUUUUUUUUUUUUUUUUUUGCAGGUCUGCCCAAUCUGUCUUGCAUCGUACCCAGCUGAUGUUCUCCCAUCUCAUGCAAACACAUGUGGUGACAGAAUGAACUGUGCUCAACCCAGCGUAGCAGCCAGUCCCCCAAGGGGAGAAGAAUUGCCAGGACCCUCAGUUCCACAAUCGUCAGUUCAACAAUCGUCAGCAGCUUCAACCUGGGCCACUGAAGUCGACCCCCAAAAAACAUGCCAGUUGUUCAGAGAAGAUUUACUGAACU